UGGAUAUAUGCGUUUUAUGUUUUGAUACACAUUGGUAAAUUACUAUCUAAGAAUGUUGUACAGCAAACCCUUCUAAAAUAGUUAUACCAACUUAAUUCCUCAGACCUUUCACAGGAUAGAUAUUAUCAAUGAUACCAUUGAUCAUUUUAAGUCUUUCUCAAUUGAUACAUAAUAUGCCUCUUCAUUCGUGUUUAUAUUGAGUUUAAUUAUUUAUGAGACUGAGAAUAUCCUACAUAUUUAUUACACAUUAGAGUUUCUUCUUAUACAACUUCAUUACUCAUGUCCCUUGUCACUUCCUCCACGUGAUCAAAGGGCUUUGCUUUAGUGAUCUGUAAGAAUGCUUAAAUAAAUGUUAAUGGAAGUACACAUUUUUCAUUUGGAUUAAUCUUUAAUUGUGGUGCUUUUGUCAUGGAAUUUAUUGCCUCCUGCUUUAUUAUUAUUUGUCUGUAAUAGUUUGUCCUUCCAAUUUCCAUUUUGUCCUUCAUUCUUCCUUUAGAUGUCACCUGGGUGUAUAUGUGGUAGAGGAUAUGGGAUGUGGGCCAGGUGGCUCACACGAAAUUUUGUGGCAGUGAAUAGGGAACCAAAAUCCUGGAUCCUGAAACCUAGCUGGGGCUUCUCUAUACAUUGACCUCUGCUGUAACUGUAUCUAUUUUUAAUGAAAUGGACUCCGCCUAGAUUCGGGCACUGAGGAUAUUUACUGCUGCUGACUGCCAGCCUUGCCAUUUCUUCCUAUCUGGAAUGAUAGCCUUUCCAUUUUUUUUUCCUUUCCAGUUGGGAUAGACUUUACAUCCCAUCUGCCUUCAAUUGCUCAAGGAAAAUUGGUGCAUUUGAGAUAGAAUGCAGAGGGCUUGGUGAGAGAUGAUAGCAUGUGGGAUAGAGUAGUCAAUGCAGAGACAGCAGUAAGUGGGUGUAAGACAGAGUUAUUAGGGAAUGAGCACCUGGAAUAUGAUACUUGUUUGGAAGAUGAGUAAGAUGAUAGUGUGUGAAAGAAUACGAUUGAGAUAAUUUCAAGGCUUCUAGAUUGAGAAACUGUGUUAUGCUAUCAUUUGCUGAGUUGGAAAACGUUAUAGGAGAAACAGAUUUGGAGCAAUGGAAAGAGAAAUAGGGGAGUUUGGAAUAGGCUGAAUUGGAUGCACCUGUGGGGUUUCUAAGAUGGCAGGCAUUGGGUAACUAGUUCCAACCUGAGGAGAGAGGAUUAUCUUCAAAAUUAUAAACAUCAGAAUCUUCAACAGAGGAGUCACAAAGUCAUGGCAUUUGGGGUUAUCACCCAGGUGGAGUUCGUUGACCUAGAAAGCAGCAGACACAGAUAGAGCACUACAGACUACCAACAUUCAAGAACAGGUAGAAAGAAAAAUGAGAGACACCUGAAGUUGGAGAAAAAGAUUUGUGUAUCAUGUCAUAAAUAGAAGAAAUUUAGAGGAAGAGCCCAACUGUUCCAGUGAAGUCUCACAAGAAUGAGUCAUUAUAUAGAUUAGACAGGGGCAAGAAUGCUGUGGUAAAACUCUACCCAGAGACUGGCCUCCCCCUGCUGGGGUGUCUUCUGUGAGGAGAGGAGGGUUCUCUUCUUUCCUUGAGGCCAACCUGACAUAGGAAGUUAUUGAAGAGUGUCUUUUCUUGGAAAUUUUCCAAUUGGGAAUAUCUGAAGGCAGAGUAAGCCACCUAAACCUUAGUCUUUAGGGAAGAAUAUUGUUCUCCUCUUUAUGUUGGUGAACUUUCUACAAUACUGAUGAGAACCAGGCCAGAACCAGUUCUAUUGUGGAGAAGGAGCAAAAAGGAAAAGGGACUGGGUGGUCUACUUUAGUGCUAGACAUUGAGCCUGCCUUUGUUCAACCCCUUGAGACCCCACCGUUGUUAUUACAGUUCACCAGGGCUGGGACUUCACAAUGAACUUUGUUCCAAAUCCCUAACUAGUCAUUGUCUCUCCACCUAAUAGUAUUUUGGGCACCUAUUUUCCUGGAAAACUUUCUGGAUUGCUGGUAACUAGGCAGGUCUAAAAUUAUAUGACUGGAAUUAUGUGAAUUGAGUCUCUGGGAAAAAAAUUAUUUUGAUACUGCUUCUAUUAUGACUUAAAAUUGUAACAAAUGACAGGUAUUAUUAAUAAAGAGAAGAGACAAGAGAUAGUUUAUCACUUUACAGAGCUGAAAGUGAGAUGAUAAUAUUGAAGAAGGCUCAGAGGUGGAUGUCUGUAGAUCACUGUAACCAUAAGCCAUGAAAUUUUUAUUUUCAGUCUGUGAGACAUAUCCAAUCCAAGACUCUGAUGGCCACAUUCAACUUGAGCGGCUUCAACCCGGGCCCACUCAUCCUACUGGGAAUCCCGGGGCUGGAGGAAUUUCAUGUCUGGAUAGGGAUUCUCUUCUUUAUUAUCUACCUUGUGGCCCUUGCAGGCAACAGCGUCCUUCUCUACCUUAUUUCCAUGGAGCGCAGCCUUCAUGAGCCCAUGUUCUUUUUCCUCUCCAUGCUGGCUGCUACAGAUAUCAUCCUGUCUAAUACAUGUGUACCCAAAGCAUUCAGCAUCUUCUGGCUAGGUCCUCAGGAAAUCACCUUUCCUGCGUGCCUUACUCAGAUGUUCUUUCUCCACUACAGCUUUGCUAUGGAUUCUGCCAUUCUGCUGGCUAUGGCAUUUGAUCGCUAUGUUGCUAUUUGCUUCCCGCUAAGAUAUACCACUAUUCUCACCCGUCAGAUUAUCACUAAGAUUGUAAUGGCUAUUGUCAGCAGGAGCUUUUGUAUCAUCUUCCCAUGUGUGUUCCUAGUAAAGCGACUGCCUUUUUGCCGAACACUCAUCAUUCCACACACAUACUGUGAGCACAUAGGUGUUGCCCAACUCGCCUGUGCGGACAUCUCCAUCAACAUCUGGUAUGGUUUUGCUGUACCUGUAAUGACUGUAACAUCAGACCUGAUCCUUAUUGGCAUCUCCUACACUCUCAUCCUUCGUGCCAUCUUUAACCUUCCAUCCCGAGAUGCCCGCCAGAAAGCCCUCAACACGUGUGGUUCCCAUGUUUGUGUCAUUCUUAUAUUCUAUACACCAGCCCUGUUCUCUGUCCUCACCCACCGUUUUGGUCACAAUAUUCCUCGCUCCUUCCACAUACUGGCUGCCAACCUCUAUGUAGCCAUCCCUCCUGCACUCAACCCAAUCGUCUAUGGGGUGAAGACAAAGCAGAUCCGGCAAAAAAUCAUCUUAUCCUUCUUCCCUCAAUGGAACCAGUGACAUGAGACUGAGAGCUUGGGAAAGGAAACAGGUAAUUAUGUUGACUUUGGAAUGCAUUUCAUUUUUUUACAGCUAAAAUAUCUACAAUGGUGAUUUAAAUACACACGAAAUGCUAAAACUCCUCCAUGUGUUGGAGGAAUCAAUAAGACAAGGUAAAGAGGUAGAUGUCAAGAAAGGCAACAAAAAAAAGUUGAAGAAGAUAUGUCUGCUUGAAAAGAUAGAUCAGAGGGAAAUUUCUAUUUCAUUUUAAAAUAGAUUUCCAAGACUUAUGGGAUAGAAUAUUGAUCGUAUAUAAUGUGGAUUAAAAAAAUAGAAUAUUAUUCUUAAUUAACAGGUUAAAAGAGAUGACUGAAAGUCUAACAAUUUGAGAUAUCUUUGUGAUACUUUCCAGAUGAAAGUUGGUAAAGCUAACAGCAAAUGAUUACCCUUCUUAGGAAUCAUCCAGGAAGAUUAAUCAUCUAAAAGCAUGGUUCUCAAACAUUGAUGAGUAUCAAAAUCACCUGGGGAGUGUGGUAGAAAUGCAAAGUCCCAGAUUCUAUCCUACUUCAAUGGGCCUCUGUGAACAGUUCUCUAGGUGAUUCUGAUACCUAAGAAAUCUUGGAUCCUUUCAAAUCAGAAAAGUCCUGGUCCUUUGAAAUACCCAUAGACUUGGUUCUUUUAGUAAUUUCCUGGGCUUGGAAGUAACAUAGCUCUCUUUUAUGCUCCCCAUAACUGCUUUUUGCUUAGUAUUGUAUUAGUGAUCCAUCUUAAAAUUCAAUAACUGCAAAUAUUAUAUCACCAAAACAUAUCAGUUAUCUCUACUUAUUGUAGUCUUUGAAGGAUUUCACUUCUGUCACAAAAAAUUCUUGUCAUGACUGUUGGUGAUUUUAAUGAACAAAGAGAUGACCCAUGAGUAACUUUGUGUGAUAUUCUCUAAAGAUAGCCACAGUACUAUAUUUCAUCUCCCAUGCUUUUCUGCAGUGUGAACUUGCCAUUCCCACAUUACAGUUGGAGUCUAAUUCUACUUAUCUUGAAUCUGUGUUAAACAUAGGGGUUCCUUGAGAAAUAGAAUUCAGUGAAAGUGACAUUCUGAGCCUUCUGAGGUUAGACCACAGAAGUCUUUGCAGUUUCCACUUGGGUCUCUUGAAAUGAUUUAUCUUGGUAUGCUCUCUCUUGGAACCCAAACGCUGAGCUACAAGUAUCCCAAGCAGAUGGAGAAGCCAUGUCUAAAUAUUCUGGUGGACGACCCCAGUAGAGACCCCAGCCAACAGUCCGCAACAAUUACCAGUCAUGUUGGUAAGGUAUCUUGAGUCUUCAGGUAUCUGUAGGCUCAAUGGGCUUCUCUCUGUAAUGUAUGAGAGACUCAAAGAGAGAACUACCCAACUAUUUGAAGCUAAGUCAUAGAACCACUAGAAGUAAUAAUUCGUUGUUUUUAGCUAAUAAACUUGGGGAUGGUUAGUUAUGCAACAAUAGAUAAAUGAUGCAGCAAUUGGUAACAGAAAGUGGGGUGCUUGUGUAGCAAAACCUAAAACAUGUAGCAUUAGUUUUGUCAUAGGCAGCAAGCAAAAGCUGAAAAGGCCUUGAAGAAGCUGUUAAUGGAGGUCAAAGACAGUGAGAAAUUAUUGUUCGAGGCUGGAGGAAUACAUAUAGGUACAACGUGGUUGUAGGAAGUUUGAAAUACCAUAACUUAGAAAGCAGAAAAAUACCUAAUUGACAUUCGGCCAAGGAGAUUUUGAAGCAGAAUACUGAAAAUAUCAACAUUAUUUUUAUGCCACAGAUGGUAAGGUACAGAAAGAUAUAAACUAAAGUGAAAUUAUUCAGUGUUCAAGCAUAACUUAGAGUAAAUACAAAGGAGUCAUGGCUGGCUGAAAUCAAAUAAAAAAGAAAUCUACACCCCCAGCCUCUCCAAAUGACAAAAGACUCUCGAAAGAAAAAACAAAAAACAAAAACUGUCCUCAGGGUGUAAUAUUACCUCUAGGAUGAGACUAUAAAGUCCUUUGCUAAGAGUAAAGAAAUAUUUAAGGGUAUGCCUAAUUAAUCUUUGCAAUUAGAUGAAGAAGCUUCUAGGAAUCUUAAGGAUAUUUUCCUAGAGAACCAUAAUUCUCAGGCAAAAUCAGACAGGGGACAGACUAGAAGAUAUUUGUGGUAUAAUUUUUGUCUAAUGGAAUGAACCCUAAAGGAUUCAUAAAGAACCAAAAUUUUUAAGAGAAAUGUACAGAGGCGAGCACCAUCAGCUUCGACUAAAAGGGACAGCGUUAAUGCAAAAUGAAAAGGUGACUUUGGGUCUCCAAUUUCAUUAAGCAGGAAGCAGAUGAAGAAAAGUACUCAGAUGUAAACACAGGGCACUACUCAAUGGGAGGCAAAGAUGACACAGAAUAUAAAGCCAAUUGGCCAGAGGUUAGACAAAAGCCAUGGAAAAUCAUUCACAGGGAGAUGAUUGGGUCCUUAUUAAGAAACCGGUGGUAUUCAUCUUCGGCUGGAUUUUAGAAACUGUAAUGGACUAGUGACUGUACUAUGACUCUCCCAAUAUUUUACAUAUGAGUACCAAUUGCAGCUCUCCAUCUCAGCAUCACCAGAGUGUGCUGGCUGUGUAGAUGGCAGAUUUCUUUCUCAUUUCUUUAUUUCACAGGUCUUCAGAUUGAAAGGAAGUGCAUUCAGGGAUCUGCAUACAAGGAACUGAACCGAAGGAGCCUUAUUCACGCUUCGUCCUGAUUUAGACGCUGAGAUCCUGGACUUUGAACUAGUCCCAUAAUGGGAAUGAGACCUUAGGAUUUUAGGGAAGAGAUAUUUGCAUUUUUGGACACUCUCCCUAGAACACAGCCACCAUACUGUGAGAAUCCCAGACUGCAUGGACAGUUCAUGUGCUUAACAGCCUGGCUGAGCUACUGGGUAGCAGCCAGAAUUAAUUGCAUCAGCUGCUUAGAAGCAACCACAGCUCCAUCCACAAUCUGAUUGCGGCCACCUGAGAGAAAGAGAGGAGAGACCCCAAAUGACAGCUGCCCAUGUGAUCCCAGGAGAUCUACAGAAUCAUGAGAUAAUAAUACAUUAUUUGAAACCACUACUUUUGGGGGUAGU